rnacentral:tRNA from 1 species
AAUUAAUAAGCUUUUAAAAGCAUUUGUUUUGAAAACUUAAGAAAGAAGAAAUUUCUUCUAUUAAUUU